AUUGAACGCUGGCGGCAUGCCUUACACAUGCAAGUCGAACGGUAACAGGUCUUCGGAUGCUGACGAGUGGCGAACGGGUGAGUAAUACAUCGGAACGUGCCCGAUCGUGGGGGAUAACGGAGCGAAAGCUUUGCUAAUACCGCAUACGAUCUACGGAUGAAAGCAGGGGACCGCAAGGCCUUGCGCGGACGGAGCGGCCGAUGGCAGAUUGGGUAGUUGGUGGGAUAAAAGCUUACCAAGCCGACGAUCUGUAGCUGGUCUGAGAGGAAGACCAGCCACACUUGGACUGAGACACGGCCCAGACUCCUACGGGAGGCAGCAGUGGGGAAUUUUGGACAAUGGGCGAAAGCCUGAUCCAGCCAUGCCGCGUGCAGGAUGAAGGCCUUCGGGUUGUAAACUGCUUUUGUACGGAACGAAAAGACUCUUUCUAAUAAAGAGGGUCCAUGACGGUACCGUAAGAAUAAGCACCGGCUAACUACGUG
rnacentral:rRNA from 1 species